ACAACAAAUAUAUGGUAUGAAAGAUUAAAAAUAAAAACAAACAGCACAUCUGUAUAGGGCAUUUGCCAAGAAUGGAGCUUGCAGAAUUGGAAGUUGAUCUGGGUGAUUUGCCCCAAAGGAGAUUGAAUCCAAACAAGUCACAGGGCAGCAGGAGAGAUGAAGAAUGCUCAUGAAGAAAGAACUGACCCCCCAUUGGACUUUCUCAUAAACUGAUGACUCACUCCUGUUGCAAACAUUGGCUUCACUGAGAGUGCACAUUCUGCUGUCUCUAUAGCUUUGCCAAAAGUGGCCACAAUGGAUUGGCAAUAUCUUUAUUUGCUGAGAAGCAAUACUUUUGAUAGUUUACAAGGUGGCUAUAUCUAAUAGAGUCAUAAACAUCUAGGGUCAAAAUUGAU
rnacentral:lncRNA from 10 species